rnacentral:rRNA from 1 species
UACGUAGGGGCAAGCGUUGUCCGGAAUUAUUGGGCGUAAAGGGCUCGCAGGCGGUUUCUUAAGUCUGAUGUGAAAUCUUGUGGCUUAACCACAAGCGGUCAUUGGAAACUGGGAGACUUGAGUGCAGAAGAGGAGAGUGGAAUUCCACGUGUAGCGGUGAAAUGCGUAGAGAUGUGGAGGAACACCAGUGGCGAAGGCGACUCUCUGGUCUGUAACUGACGCUGAGGCUCGAAAGCGUGGGGAGCAAACAGGAUUAGAUA